UACGUAGGGGGCAAGCGUUGUCCGGAAUCAUUGGGCGUAAAGGGCGCGUAGGCGGUCCGAUAAGUCGGUUGUGAAAACUGGGGGCUCAACCCUCAGAGGCCGACCGAUACUGUCGGGCUAGAGUCCGGAAGAGGCGAGUGGAAUUCCUGGUGUAGCGGUGAAAUGCGCAGAUAUCAGGAGGAACACCAAUGGCGAAGGCAGCUCGCUGGGACGGUACUGACGCUGAGGCGCGAAAGCGUGGGGAGCAAACAGG
rnacentral:rRNA from 1 species